ensembl:misc_RNA Y_RNA Y RNA
GGCUGGUCCGAUGGCAGUGGGUUAUCAGAACUUAUUAACAUUAGUGUCACUCAAGUUGGUACACCACCCCCCCACUGCUAAAUUUGACUGGCUUUAA